AGUUUCUCAAAUGUUUGAACAAAGUAUAGCUGCGAUGUCACAAAAUGGCCAGACAUAGCAGUUAAUGACAGACAGUUCUCACAGUAAAUGCUGAUAGAUCACAGACCAUCUGGACUAUGGAGAGAGGGCCAAAAGCACCCAGAACAAGCUGAAAUUGCAUCCAAAUCACAUCAUGAUGCUAAUUCCAUCUUUAUGAAUGGUGUCCUGAAAUAUGACGCAGAUGAAUUGAUCAUAGAUUUUGAAUCCUGAUGUUUGUUUUGUCCCUUGCCCCCUACACACAUGCCUAUUUCAACACCCCCUUUCCUCCGCUGACCCCCCCCCUUUUCAUUGCUCAUAUAUAGCAUCAGCAAAGAAGUGUAUAGACAGCACACAUUUAAGCUCAGCCAGCCUUUCUAUCUCUAUUUUGGAUAAUAGUCUCAGGACGGUAGUUUGAGUUUUCCUUCCAUUUCUCACAAGGAAAAAAAAAAUGUAAACCUCAAACUUCUAUUUGAAAUACUACAGCUGCAAUAAAGAAAUAGCAAGAGAAGCCA